AUUGAACGCUGGCGGCAGGCCUAACACAUGCAAGUCGAGCGGGGUUUUCGGACCUAGCGGCGGACGGGUGAGUAAUGCGUAGGAAGCUACCCGAUAGAGGGGGAUACCAGUUGGAAACGACUGUUAAUACCGCAUAAUGUCUACGGACCAAAGUGUGGGACCUUCGGGCCACAUGCUAUCGGAUGCGCCUACGUGGGAUUAGCUAGUUGGUGAGGUAAUGGCUCACCAAGGCGACGAUCUCUAGCUGGUUUGAGAGGAUGAUCAGCCACACUGGAACUGAGACACGGUCCAGACUCCUACGGGAGGCAGCAGUGGGGGAAUAUUGGACAAUGGGCGGCAAGCCUGAUCCAGCCAUGCCGCGUGUGUGAAGAAGGCCUUAGGGUUGUAAAGCACUUUCAGCGAGGAGGAAGGGGGUUGUAGUUAAUAGCUGCAAUCUUUGACGUUACUCGCAGAAGAAGCACCGGCCUAACU
rnacentral:rRNA from 1 species